rnacentral:rRNA from 1 species
CUACGGGAGGCUGCAGUGGGGAAUAUUGCACAAUGGGCGCAAGCCUGAUGCAGCCAUGCCGCGUGUAUGAAGAAGGCCUUCGGGUUGUAAAGUACUUUCAGCGGGGAGGAAGGGAGUAAAGUUAAUACCUUUGCUCAUUGACGUUACCCGCAGAAGAAGCACCGGCUAACUCCGUGCCAGCAGCCGCGGUAAUACGGAGGGUGCAAGCGUUAAUCGGAAUUACUGGGCGUAAAGCGCACGCAGGCGGUUUGUUAAGUCAGAUGUGAAAUCCCCGGGCUCAACCUGGGAACUGCAUCUGAUACUGGCAAGCUUGAGUCUCGUAGAGGGGGGUAGAACUCCAGGUGUAGCGUUGAAAUGCGUAGAGAUCUGGAGGAAUACCGGUGGCGAAGGCGGCCCCCUGGACGAAGACUGACGCUCAGGUGCGAAAGCGUGGGGAGCAAACAGGAUUAGAUACCCCUGUAGUC